UUGUGGGAUUUCAUUCCUCACUUUUGUUUUGUGCCAAGUAGGCGGAUUUUUGAUUUACAUUUUCUACACAUUUGAAUUUUUAUAUCUGGAGCAGGUGUCUCAUUGUGGGAUUUCAUUCCUCACUUUUGUUUUGUGCCAAGUAGGCGGAUUUUUGCUUUACAUUUUCUACACAUUUGAAUUUUUAUAUCUGGAGCAGGUGUCUCAUUGUGGGAUUUCAUUCCUCACUUUUGUUUUGUGCCAAGUAGGCGGA